rnacentral:snRNA from 1 species
GGAUGUGAGGGCAAUCUGGCUGCGACAUCUGUCACCCCAUUGAUCGCCAGGGUUGAUUCGGCUGAUCUGGCUGGCUAGGCGGGUGUCCCCCUCCUCCCUCACCGAUCCGUGUGCGUCCCUCCCGAAGCUGCGUGCUCGGUCGAAGAGGACGACCUUCCCCCCCGAGGAGAGGACCAGUCUUCGGUCAAGGGUACACGAGUAGCUGCGCUCCCCUGCUAGAACCUCCAAACAAGCUCUCAAGAAUAGGCAUACUUCAGAACCUGGACCAGAAAAAAUGAUCAAGUUCAUCAAUUUCUUUAUUCCCAUCAAAUAUGGCUGGUUGUUCUUCCAGUUAACCAUUUUUU